rnacentral:hammerhead_ribozyme from 1 species
AUCCAGCUGACAAAUCCCAAAUAUAACGAAAUGUGCAUCCUGGAU